CUUAAAGGAAUUGACGGGGACCCGCACAAGCGGUGGAUGUUGUGGUUUAAUUCGAUGCAACGCGAAAAACCUUACCCACCUUUGACAUGGCAGGAAGUUUCCAGAGAUGGAUUCGUGCUCGAAAGAGAACCUGCACACAGGUGCUGCAUGGCUGUCGUCAGCUCGUGUCGUGAGAUGUUGGGUUAAGUCCCGCAACGAGCGCAACCCUUGCCAUUAGUUGCUACGAAAGGGCACUCUAAUGGGACUGCCGGUGACAAACCGGAGGAAGGUGGGGAUGACGUCAAGUCCUCAUGGCCCUUGUAGGUGGGGCUACACACGUCAUACAAUGGCCGGUACAAAGGGCAGCCAACCCGCGAGGGGGAGCCAAUCCCAUAAAGCCGGUCGUAGUCCGGAUCGCAGUCUGCAACUCGACUGCGUGAAGUCGGAAUCGCUAGUAAUCGUGGAUCAGCAUGUCACGGUGAAUACGUUCCCGGGUCUUGUACACACCGCCCGUCACACCA
rnacentral:rRNA from 1 species